rnacentral:tRNA from 1 species
GCGGAUGUGGCGGAACUGGUAGACGCCUCGGUUUUAGGUACCGAUAUCGAAAGAUCUAAGCGUUCGAGUCUCUUCAUGCGCACCA